rnacentral:rRNA from 1 species
GACGAACGCUGGCGGCGUGCUUAACACAUGCAAGUCGAACGGAAAGGCCCUGCUUUUGUGGGGUGCUCGAGUGGCGAACGGGUGAGUAACACGUGAGUAACCUGCCCUUGACUUUGGGAUAACUUCAGGAAACUGGGGCUAAUACCGGAUAGGAGCUCCUGCUGCAUGGUGGGGGUUGGAAAGUUUCGGCGGUUGGGGAUGGACUCGCGGCUUAUCAGCUUGUUGGUGGGGUAGUGGCUUACCAAGGCUUUGACGGGUAGCCGGCCUGAGAGGGUGACCGGCCAAAUUGGGACUGAGAUACGGCCCAGACUCCUACGGGAGGCAGCAGUGGGGAAUAUUGCACAAUGGGCGGAAGCCUGAUGCAGCAACGCCGCGUACGGGAUGACGGCCUUCGGGUUGUAAACCGCUUUCGCCUGUGACGAAGCGUGAGUGACGGUAAUGGGUAAAGAAGCACCGGCUAACUACGUG